UAUAUAUAUAUAUAUAUAUAUAUAUAUAUAUAUAUUCUUAUAGUGUAAGUUUUGCAAUGCAAUUAUAAUUUUGGUAAUAUGAUUAAUUCACCUCAGAACCUGUGUAUCAUGUUAUGAAAUGUAUGUUUUUGUGUUCAGAUUCCCAAAUUUAAAGAUAACAUGUGUUAAGUAGAGAACUUUCCAUUUUGAAACAUACGUAAGACAGAGAGAAAGAGUAAGUGCUUAUAUAUAUAGCAAGCCUUUGAAGAGGAUUGUAUUAACACUUUGAGAAUGUCUUAGCUAAGCUGAUUUCUUUAUCGCUGCAAACACGUGUGUAAGACCUCCCAGGCCGCAUUGAGUCCUUGAGGACCUUCCCUACAAUGAAGUUAUACAUGUUUAACAUAGAGAGAUGAUGUAAUAUGUUUUCGUCUUGAACUAGAUGCUAAUCACCCAUACGCUUAUGGGGAUAGAAAACCAUUCAUUCGAUCUCGAGACCUAGCCGCUGGCAUGAGGGAUAGUCUCUCUCUCUCUCUCUCUCUCGCGAACUGUUUCAUUUCCGUAACGUAAUUCAUGCAUAUAUGUAAUGUGGUCACUCAUUUUUAUAUAAUUCUUAGUAAUAUAUGUGUUGUUUGUGGAAUCUGAACAUAGUAUUAUUUCUAUUAGUUUUGUGAAGGUGCCCACGAAAGUGUAAAAGUGUGUAAUAGGCCUUUAAGCUGCAGCUGCAUAUACAGAUAUUUUACAAAUGUUUUGAAGUGCACUUCGAGGUUUUAUUUUACCAUUGGAUAAAAUUAUCAUUUUCAAUACAUUUUUCUUUUGCUUUGUUCUUUUGACAUAUCCAUUUUUAUAUGCUUAAUGUUUGUACUGUCAAUGCUUUAAUUGUUCUCAUAUUAUGUAUUAUGUUUUUUUGCAUUGUCUUUAUUUUGUUUAAUUAAUUUGAAUAAUAUUCUAUUGUGUAAUUGUUCGAACCUAACACUUGCAAAUUAAUUUGUAUUUAAUUAAAUUUCAUUUCAAAUUUAAUUAUUGCUUUAUGAUCUAAUAUAAUUAAUUUUCUUGAUAAACUUUGAUUUAAUUUUGCUUAAUAAUUAAUUCAAGAAUUAAUUAAACCUUUGUUUUCAAGUAAUAACAAUGUAAUAACAAUUUCCCUGAGAUUGCGAAUUUCACUUAUAAAUUUUGAAUUUAGAAAUAAAUUUUUGUAUUUAAAAUUUUUGGAAGAGUUUCAUUUACUUCCACCAGUAUAUAACAAUAUAGUAUUAUAUUUUAUUUUGUUUAGGUUAUAGAGUGAUAAUUGUGCCGUUUCCCAGAAAUAAAUCAGAAUCAUGGAAAUACUUAGAUUUGAAAUUAUAGAAGGAGUGAUGCCCUUUAAUUAAGAUUACCUCACAUCCAUUUUAAUGAACUUAGACUGAUUGUUUUCUUGACUGUUCAGUUCUAUAAGGGAUUACUAUUACCUUUAGAGUAUUCAGUCGUUUAGUAUUUGUGAUGAAGGGUCAGGUGUCUGGCUGUAGUGAGGUAAGUAAUAACCAGGUACUUGAACAAACUGUGCCCUAAGUACAAAGGGUGUCCCAGACACAGGAAUAAAAGGGUCUCUUGUGCUAACAAGUACAAAUGGUAAGUGAGGUAACCAGAUACUUGGCGAUUUGGGUUAACAAAUAUUAAUGGUGUCCAGAUACAGAUCUUUGGCUACUUCGUGCACCAAGUAUUAAUGGUGUCCAGACCCAGAUACUCUAGGCCACUUCGUAACAAUAUAUAUAUAUAUAUAUAUAUAUAUAUAUAUAUAUAUAUGUGUGUGUGUGUGUGUGUGUGUGUAUAUAUAUAUUGAGGUAAUGGGGGCCCACUGUAAGAAAAUGCCACGGGCCCAUUCUCACCUAGUUAACCCCUGCUCGCCAGCGAAACGUGCACCUCUCAUUAGAUUAUGAAUUUAUUAUUGUUUUAUUCUCUCUCCUUAUUUUACUGUAAUUUCACAUUUAUUGUAUCACAUAACACACACAUACAUGCUUAUAUAUAUUACGUACGUAUGUGUGUAGGAUACGCUUCCUUAUUGUGUAUUGAGCUCCGAUGCUCAUGUUUGUUAUGAUUCUAUUAUAUGCGCCUCUGUAUUUUGUAUAAUCUACUACAUGCCUUCUUCAGUGUAGCUAAACAAAUAAACUCAACCAAAGAAGA